rnacentral:rRNA from 1 species
CAGUAGCCGCGGUAAUACGGAGGGGGCUAGCGUUGUUCGGAAUUACUGGGCGUAAAGCGCACGUAGGCGGCUUGGUAAGUUAGAGGUGAAAGCCCGGAGCUCAACUCCGGAAUUGCCUUUAAGACUGCCGAGCUAGUAGGUGAGAGAGGUAAGUGGAAUUCCGAGUGUAGAGGUGAAAUUCGUAGAUAUUCGGAAGAACACCAGUGGCGAGGGCGGCUUACUGGCUCAUUCUAGACGCUGAGGUGCGAAAGCGUGGGGAGCAAACAGGAUUAGAUACCCGCGUAGUCCCUGUCUCUUAUAC